GCUUUUUCUCUCUCCUCUCUAUCUUUCUUCCCUUGAGCGUUUUUUUUUUAAUCCUUCGUUCUGCUUUUUCUCGUUGGAGAAUGAAAUUUUUGCUUCUGGUUUUAAGAUUUUUACCUUUUAGCUAAAGUGUGAUCACUCUCUUUUCAAUCUUGUUUUUUGCAUCGCUUUUGGAUUUGAAGGAAAGAUGAAGAAGAAGCAUCACGUUGUGGAGGUGGAGAAGAAGAAGUAUCCAAUUGGUUCCGAGCAUUAUGAACUCUACGAGGAGAUUGGCCAUGGCGUGAGUGCCACGGUACACCGUGCUCUUUGUAAACAGUUAAAUGAGACUGUUGCCAUCAAAAUUCUCGAUUUUGAACGCGACAAUGCUAAUCUGAAUAACAUUUCUCGGGAAGCGCACACAAUGAACCUAAUUGACCACCCUAAUGUCCUUAAAUCACACUGCUCAUUCGUUAGUGAUCAUAAUCUGUGGGUUGUUAUGCCAUAUAUGGCUGGCGGUUCCUGUCUUCACAUCUUGAAAGCUGCUUACCCUGAUGGUUUAGAGGAGGUUAUAAUAGCCACAAUAUUGCGAGAGGUUUUAAAGGGUUUAGAAUAUCUUCAUCAGCAUGGGCAUAUACAUCGAGAUAUCAAAGCUGGGAACAUUCUAAUUGAUAACCACGGGGCAAUCAAGCUUGGAGAUUUGGGUGUAGCUGCUUGUCUUUUUGAUUCUGGUGACAGGCAACGCACACGGAAAACAUUUGUGGGGACACCCUGCUGGAUGGCACCUGAGGUCAUGGAGCAACUACAUGGUUAUGACUUCAAGGCUGAUAUCUGGUCAUUUGGCAUAACUGCGUUGGAGCUUGCCCAUGGUCAUGCUCCUUUCUCUAAGUAUCCACCAAUGAAGGUACUGUUGAUGACAUUGCAACAAGCACCGCCUGGCCUUGAUUAUGAAAGGGAUAAGAAGUUCUCUCAUUCAUUUAAACAGAUGAUUGCUAGUUGUUUAGUGAAAGAUCCUUCAAAACGACCAACUGCCAAAAAGUUGUUGAAGCAUUCCUUCUUUAGGCAGGCUCGCUCAAAUGAUUAUAUUUCACGAAAACUUUUGGAGGGUCUGCCUGCUUUAGGUGAUCGUAUGAAAGCCCUAAAGAUUAAAGAAGAAGACAUGCUUGCUCAAGAGAAAAUGCCUCAUGGGCGAAUGGAAGAAAUAUCUCAGGAUGAAUACAAACGAGGAAUUAGUGGCUGGAACUUCAAUCUUGAUGAUAUGAAGGCCCAGGCUUCCUUGAUCCAGGAUUCUGACGACCCCAUAGAUGAUAUCUCUCAUACAGGAUGUUCAAAUUCCUUUUCUACACAAGAUGAACGUAAUAAGCCAUCAUCACGUCAAAACCAGGAUCCUUGUCAAAUUGCAGAUAUGGUCAACAAUGAUGAGGUUCAAAAUCUAUCAACUUCUGGUCCCACAGUUGGUUCCACACUAAAUUGCACCGAGUCAAAAUGUGAGGAUCAUGAUUCUAGCAUCACCAGUUCAAGCCAUAGGCAGCACGUCUCCCAGCACUCCUCAUCCCCUCUUGAUAAUCAGGUUGAUCAUAACAUGAAUGAAAAAUCUGGUAGGGAAAAUAGUGGGAGAUCUGUAGAGGCCACAGCUAUUCAUUCCCUUCAUGGUAGAUUUUCAAUGAGCAUCUCCGACCAAGUUACACCUCCAUUUAUCCAGGGAGAAAGGGAGAAGCCGCAACAUCAGCCCCAGAACAACUUAAACAACAAUGCAACUACAGUUCCCCUAUCAAGGGAUGAUACGCAUUCUGACCUUUCUUCUAAAGCUUCAAAAUCGUCAGUAUCUACUUCUGAUGACAAUGACGACAAAGCAAAGGUACCAGUUGUUCACCAGAGAGGACGAUUUAAGGUUACAUCUGAAAAUGUGGACUCAGAAAAGCCGACAGAGCAUGCUGCCCAGCACUGACUAGUCAUCCAGGAAUAAUUGAUGUCACUUGGUCGUCUGGUUAAGCUUCUAUCACCAUUUGAUGAAGAAUACUGACAUGAGGCUUUGCAUAAAGGAAUCAAAAGUUGAUCCUGCAGAAGUUAUUGCUGAAGUUCAUUCAUGUAUAAAUUGUUUCAAUCUCUCUCUUCAGUUGCUCCCUGAUGAACAAAAGCACAAUUCCAAUUCCUCAUUAUCGCAAGCCUCGAAAUUUUGUUCUUGUUGGUUCAGUACUGUUUCUGUUUCUCUUGAUAUAUGUUUCGUAUUUUGGCUCAUCCUGCGAGCUUUGGAAUCAACCUUGUUUAUUUUUGUCAUACCCUUUCUUUUAAUUUUAUACAUUGGAUUAUUAUUAAGAUUGCUAGACAACAUACACUAAUAAUUAUUGAGAUAAUUUGAGGGGAA